ACGCACACGUAUGUGUGUAUACACUAAAAUUGGAAAAACAUGGAAAUGAACAUAGUCUCUAUGCAAGGAUGACAAAAGAAUUUGUGAAGUAUUGCAAAUGUUU
rnacentral:snRNA from 1 species